rnacentral:rRNA from 1 species
AUUGAACGCUGGCGGCAUGCCUAACACAUGCAAGUCGAACGGCAGCACGUUAGAGGGUAACUUUUAAUGGCGGCGAGUGGCGUACGGGUGAGUAAUGCGUAGGAAUGUAUAAUAGAGUCGAGGAUAGCUUAUGGAAACAUGGGGUAAUACUGGAUGUUCCUGAGAAGUUAAAGCUGGGGACCUUUUGGCCUGGCGCUCUCAGGUGAGAUUACGUUAGAUUAGUUAGUUGGUGGGGUAAAGGCCUACCAAGGCGAAGAUCUAUAGCUGGUUUGAGAGGAAGAACAGGCACAAUGGGACUGAGACACGGACCAGACUCUUACGGGAGGCAGCAGUGGGGAAUCUUGGACAAUAGGCGAAAGCCUGAUCCAGCAAUGCCGCGUGUGUGAAGAAGGCCUUCGGGUUGUAAAGCACUUUCAGUGGGGAGGAGGCUAACUUUUUUUAAUAGAAAAAGUUGGUGACGUUACCUACAGAAGAAGCACCGGCUAACUCUGUGCCAGCCGCCGCAGUAA